ACACGCCUUCUCCCCCCGUGGUUUCCCAUUCAACUCCGGUGACGGGCCGUGACGCGGCGUCGGCCUCGUCGUUGCUCCUUGUACCCAAUCGAUUCGUUUAUUCGGAGCGGGUGGGACGACGUAGGAGGCCGCCUGCUGAGGCUAUUUCAAACGUCGGCGCUCGCGGCGGCGGCUCUCUCGGCUCUCGCAAUGUCGCGUGCCUCCUGCCGCUGAAUCAGGUCCGACGAAUGCCGCUGCGAGCGGGGAGGAGGAGGCGCGGAUUAACGGCGCGGAGAAAUCGCUUUUCCGCUCUGAGAUCCAUCGCCUCUUGCCUGACACCGCGGCAUGCCGUCCAGAGCCAAUCGAGGGUAUCUUGGAGUAUAUGCUACACCUCCAAGGUUUAGUUAGAGCUGGCCAGUUAUGUUGAUUCCAAAUGGAGCAGAUAAGAGAUUUGUCACAACUUCCGUGUUUGUUCUUUUUAGAACUCGUAAAAUUCUCAGUCAAUCUUCAUAUUCUUUUCGAUUCAGACUAAAGUCAUGCAUUUGUGAUUUGGGCAGGUACUAUCUAAGGAUUACCUCAUUUUAACAAAAUUUCGGAUGCAGAACAGGAAGCUUAUGCACAGAUACUCUUGAUCUGAAGUGUCCGUUUCUCAUGUUGGGACCAAAUGGAUUCCUGUAAAAUACAUUUAAUUUAUGAAAUCUGCAAUACUGUGAUGUGCCAAGAAAAAAAUAAGGGAAAAAUUGCAUUUAUGUAAAGUAAUGUUAUGAAUAAAACGGCUAUUUCUCGCAUGCAUGUAUUCAAUCUAACCAUAAUGUUUUGAAUGGUGCAGCUCUAAUGAGGAAUCGAGGAGCAGAAUGGCUGCUUUGCCAGACUUUAAAGCAAGAAUGGGUUAGAUUGAUGCGACACAAGCAUGAAAUCUACAUUACGAAGAUUUACCAAUAAGAUAAUUUGGCUCCUGCCAUCAGUUGCUUCAUUCAGGCGUGACCAUUAGGAUGCAACCUGACGGAAUGUACAUGCAGUAAAGUGUAUGCUUGCGUCCAGACCUGAAUUGGACAAGGUUAAACUUGGACCUCAAAUGAGGUUGGGUUAGGUGAGCAGGCUCUUAUGUGGUUGCACCAAUACAGUGUGACUAGUGACUUGACAAAAGUAAGGAAAGGUGUCGGAAUCGAGACUCGGGAGAAGUAAAUUUGAAGAAAGUCAGUCGGCGUGGCGGGCUGGCCGCCCUUGUCUUUGUUUACUUGAAGCGAGAAGGAAAUUAGAUUGAUGUGAGAGCGAUUUCAAGAUCCUGGGUCGCUAUACCUGCGGAUGCUUUUAUAGACAUGGAGUCUUCGUCAGCUUUGGUUUUCAUGUAAGUUUGUCCUGAGCCAGUAAAAUAUUUUUUCAUGCUACGAUCUUUGUUUUCUUGAA